CAAAAUUAAUGUAAUGUAAUGCUAUAUUGAUUGAUUAAUUCUGUGCAUAUAUGUUAUUCAGCUCUGUCCUGGUAGUAUCACUGCCAAAUACCACUACUAGUCAUGCUGUUAACUAAAAAAUUUCAAUGUCUUGCCUUUUUUUCACCAAUAUUGUUAUUUUGUCUUCCAAGUAUAGUUUUACUUCUAAGGGUAGUAAGAAGUUCAGAUAAAAUAAAUAGAGGGGGCCAUUUUCAUAUUAUGAUGAAAAAGUGGUACACUGUGUAUAAAUUGUCAACAGUCAGAAGGAUUGCCACUCCAAGAAUAAUUUUUAUUUUACAGGCAGGUACAUAGGGAAGAAUAAAGACAAGUCUCUAACAAUGAGAAUUUUGGAUAAGAUUUGUAUGUUCAUAUGUAGAGCUUUGACCUUGAGGUGACUGUGUGGCUGAAAGCUCCUUGAGUUACAGUUUGUUGCUGAACAAAUUACCUCCUUACAUUUCCUUGACAGUCUCAACUCCUCACGGUCCUUCUGACGCAAACAAAGGAAGCCACGCCCAAGUCACAUUAAGACUACAACUUCACAUAACAAGGUCGUAUAUUUCUUUCAAGUGCAAGUCACAAACAGAUUGACAAGAAGAAAAGCAAGAGUCCAGAGAAAAAUGUCAACCUUCAGAAAACACAAGUUGAGGUCGAUACGCCAUCUUCCCCGUCCACACACUCCAUCGGACAAGAAGUUAAAGCUGUGUACCUUGUGGUAACAACAGCUUGUAAUACGCAUGUGUAUUAAGACAGACAUUUGGUUUGACAAAACGCAUGCCUUUUAAAUAAAUGUUUGUACCACAAGGUAGACAUCUUUUGGAAACAAUUAAACAAAAGUUUCUGCCGGAGGUGGGCGUGGCGGGGGAGGUCGGAUGGGUGAAAAAAGAGUAUAUCAAUAUUCUGUAAUAUUACUGUAUUAUAAGAUUUCAAAAAAAAGAUUGUAAUAUUCCUAUA